CUUUUGUUUGAGAAAAGACCAAGAAUUGGGUGGAACACUAUGAGAAGGAUCCGAAAGCUCCAAUGGCUAGACUAUUGAACAUGAUAUUUGAGAUUUUUAAAUGUUUUGUCUUUUUGAUGAACGAGGCAUCUUUUAAUCAUGGUGAAAGGGAAGCUCUGAGAUCUUGUAUAAAUGCUUUGAAUUUCUGGGCUACUGAGAUUUGGUGGGAGUUACAAGACUUCACCCUCAACAUAUUGAAAAGGAUUAUAGAUGAGCUCAUUAUCAACGUAUCAUUGUUCCAGAAAUGGGCAUUAGUGCAGUAUGGAGAACUGUAGUAUUUAAGAUGGAGACUUUCAUCAAAUGCUCCCUCAGA
rnacentral:misc_RNA from 1 species